AUUUUUAUAGCUUAAAUUUAAAGCUUAGCUCUGAAAAAGCUACCAUAGCCUUUGGCUUAAAAAUA
rnacentral:tRNA from 1 species